AACGAACGCUGGCGGCAGGCUUAACACAUGCAAGUCGAACGCGUGUAGCAAUACACGAGUGGCGCACGGGUGAGUAACGCGUGGAUAUCUGCCUUUUGGUUCGGAAUAACCCCGGGAAACUGGGGCUAAUACAGGAUGGUUCCUACGGGAUAAAGAUUUAUCGCCAAAAGAUGAGUCCGCGUACGAUUAGCUAGUUGGUGGGGUAAUGGCUCACCAAGGCGACGAUCGUUAGCUGGUCUGAGAGGACGAUCAGCCACACUGGGACUGAGACACGGCCCAGACGCCUACGGGAGGCAGCAGUGGGGAAUAUUGGACAAUGGGGGCAACCCUGAUCCAGCCAUGCCGCGUGAGUGAUGAAGGCCUUCGGGUUGUAAAGCUCUUUUGGCGGGGACGAUGAUGACGGUACCCGCAGAAUAAGCCCCGGCUAACUUCGUGCCAGCCGCCGCCGUAACAC
rnacentral:rRNA from 1 species